rnacentral:tRNA from 1 species
CAGGUGUGGCGGAAUGGUAGACGCACAGGACUUAAAAUCCUGAGAAGGAAACUUCGUGAGGGUUCAAGUCCCUCCACCUGC